CCCAACACUGGCGCCCCCUUGCCAAGGCAUACGUUUCUCAUUUAUUCUUGAUUAUUCAUUCCUGAUCUUUGAUUGAUGAGGUUUACCUCCUUAUUACGCAAAGCCAAUCUAAACGCUGGUCUUUCCAAACCAUGGGAACGAUAAUGGGGAAGCGGAAAUCUGUUUCUGCUGAUAUCCUGAAACGUGCAGCUGCCAUGGGUCAGCCCGGUGCAAGCCCGACAGUUGCCGCUCGCCUGAGUUGAGUUGUUGGCUCAUGAAAUGAGAUAAUGAGAAAUCAAGAAAAAAGAAAAUGGAUUUAAUCGUCAAACCCACGGUUACCAGUCAGUAAUGACUUAUACUGCCGCGAAGUCCUCACGCACACCCUGGUGCAAGGGCAGAAUUGGUUUGGCGUUUCCUGCAGCGGAUUCUUCUUGCCCUUAUCCUACAGCCAGGGGCCGGCCGUGAGUCGGUGGUAUAUAUUUAAAUAACUCUAGGACUUGAUAGAUGGCUAAACGCUAUGCACACGCUGUAUACUAUCAAUACUAGCCACAAACACUGAAUUCCCCCUACCAAGGAGGAGUGCCAAUGGAAGGGAGUGCACCGCGAUGAAUGUGUGUGUAGUGUUCAGGAAAUACGGCCACUUUAGAGGCCGGACUCAUACGAGGGGCAUGAUUCCAGCCCCAGGGCCAGAUAGAGACAGACAGAUACAACUACAGC
rnacentral:sRNA from 1 species